UGGAAUUCACAUGUGGAAUUU
rnacentral:piRNA from 1 species